rnacentral:rRNA from 1 species
GAUGAACGCUAGCGGCAGGCUUAAUACAUGCAAGUCGAGGGGCAGCAGGACUUUAGCAAUACAGUUGCUGGCGACCGGCAAACGUGUGCGGAACACGUACGCAACCUACCCAAAACUGGGGGAUAGCCCGGGGAAACCCGGAUUAAUACCUCGUAACCUUUUUCAGUGGCAUCACUUGAUAAGUAUAGCUCUUGCGGUUUUGGAUGGGCGUGCGCCUGAUUAGGUAGUUGGUGCGGGUAACGGCCCCCCAACCCUGCGAUCAGUAACUGAUGUGAGAGAAGGACCAGUCACACGUGAGCCGAGACACGGGCCCGAAUCCUACGGGAGGCAGCAGUAAGGAAUAGUAGUGAAGGGACGCAAGUCGGAACCAGCCAUGCCGCGUGAAGGAUGAAGGGCCUCUGGAUAGUAAACUUCUUUUAUGGGGGAAGAAACCCGGAUAUUCUUAUCCGAUUGACGGUACCUAAGGAAUAAGCACCGGCUAACUCCGUG